rnacentral:tRNA from 1 species
GGUCCCGAUCGAGCCAAAUUGCAAAUUUGGCCUUACCGCGGGAACGCGGCCAGGACCU